ACAGUAUUUUACAGUUAAACUGUAUUUAUUACAGUAUUUUACAGUUAAACUGUAUUUAUCACAGUAUUUUUAUAGUUAAACUGUGUAUUUAUCACAGUAUUUUACAGUUAAACUGUAUUUAUUACAGUAUUUUACAGUUAAACUGUAUUUAUUACAGUAUUUUAUAGUUAAACUGUAUUUAUCACAGUAUUUUAUAGUUAAACUGUAUUUAUUACAGUAUUUUAUAGUUAAACUGUGUAUUUAUCACAGUAUUUUACAGUUAAAAUGUAUUUAUUACAGUAUUUUACAGUUAAACUGUAUUUAUCACAGUAUUUUAUAGUUAAACUGUAUUUAUCACAGUAUUUUACAGUUAAACUGUAUUUAUCACAGUAUUUUACAGUUAAACUGUAUUUAUUACAGUAUUUUACAGUUAAACUGUAUUUAUCACAGUAUUUUAUAGUUAAACUGUAUUUAUCACAGUAUUUUACAGUUAAACUGUAUUUAUCACAGUAUUUUACAGUUAAACUGUAUUUAUCACAGUAUUUUACAGUUAAACUGUAUUUAUCACAGUAUUUUUAUAGUUAAACUGUAUUUAUUACAGUAUUUUACAGUUAAACUGUAUUUAUUACAGUAUUUUACAGUUGAACUGUAUUUAUCACAGUAUUUUACAGUUAAACUGUAUUUAUUACAGUAUUUUUAUAGUUAAACUGUGUAUUUAUUACAGUAUUUUAUAGUAGAACACUCUCCCUCAGGACUGCUCCUUCUCUAAACUCAUUGAUCAUUUUUAUUAAACUAGAAUAAAUUGAGGUUUGUAUUUUUUUUAAAGGUGACCUGUCUCAGAGGUCAACGCCUCACCCUAACCUCAUGUCCGUCCAGAAACUUCUCUGAGGUCCUGAUUUUUUUCUUUCCUCCUUCAUCACACCUCUGAAAAACACAAACACCAUCUGUCUCCUCCCCUACUGCAGGUACCCUCCUCCUCCUCCUCUUCCUCCUCGUCUCCUUGCUCCCAGCUGCGUGUUAACACCGAGCUAAACGCU